CAGUCGAGCGGACAGAUGGGAGCUUGCUCCCUGAUGUUAGCGGCGGACGGGUGAGUAACACGUGGGUAACCUGCCUGUAAGACUGGGAUAACUCCGGGAAACCGGGGCUAAUACCGGAUGGUUGUUUGAACCGCAUGGUUCAAACAUAAAAGGUGGCUUCGGCUACCACUUACAGAUGGACCCGCGGCGCAUUAGCUAGUUGGUGAGGUAACGGCUCACCAAGGCAACGAUGCGUAGCCGACCUGAGAGGGUGAUCGGCCACACUGGGACUGAGACACGGCCCAGACUCCUACGGGAGGCAGCAGUAGGGAAUCUUCCGCAAUGGACGAAAGUCUGACGGAGCAACGCCGCGUGAGUGAUGAAGGUUUUCGGAUCGUAAAGCUCUGUUGUUAGGGAAGAACAAGUACCGUUCGAAUAGGGCGGUACCUUGACGGUACCUAACCAGAAAGCCACGGCUAACUACGUGCCAGCAGCCGCGGUAAUACGUAGGUGGCAAGCGUUGUCCGGAAUUAUUGGGCGUAAAGGGCUCGCAGGCGGUUUCUUAAGUCUGAUGUGAAAGCCCCCGGCUCAACCGGGGAGGGUCAUUGGAAACUGGGGAACUUGAGUGCAGAAGAGGAGAGUGGAAUUCCACGUGUAGCGGUGAAAUGCGUAGAGAUGUGG
rnacentral:rRNA from 1 species